rnacentral:rRNA from 1 species
CCUGGUGAUUUCUGCCAGUAGUCAUAUGCUUGUCUCAAGAUUAAGCAUGCAUGUCUAAGUAUAAGCAAUUACAAAGCGAAAACUGCGAAUUGGCUCAUUAUAUAAGUUUAUCGUUUAUUUGAUAGUCCUUACACAUGGAUAACCGUGGUUAAUUCUAAGAAAAGCCUUAGAUUACAUGGCUGAAAAUCCGACUUCGGAAAGGGAUGUAUUAUUAGAUACAAAACCAAUGCCCUUCGUGGCUUCUUGGUCGAUUCAUGAUAACUUCUUCGAAUCGCACGGCCCGCCGCCGGCGAUGGUAUUCAAUCUUCUUCCCUAUCAACUUUUCGAUGCUACGGUGAUUGUCUAGCAUGGUGCAAACGGGUGACGGAGUGUUAGGGCUCGCCCCGGAGAAAGGAGCCGAGAAACGGCUACUACAUCCAAGGAAGGCAGCAAGGCGCGGCAAGAUAUUACCAAUCCGACUGCGGAGGAGGUAGUGACGAUUAAAUACCGAUACAGCUCUUUUGGGGUCGCCUGUUAAUUGAGAAUGAUACAAUUCAAAUCCCUUAAACGAGGAACAAUUGAGCGGACAAGUCUGUGCCAGCGCCGAGGUAACUUCCAGCUCAAUAGCGUAUAUUAAAGUUGUUGUGUUAAAAACUGCGUAGUAGAAGCUCGGCUCCGGUCGGCCGGUCCGCCUCACGCGCUGCACUGGUUCGGCCGGGCUUUCACCUUCUGCGGAACCGCAUCUCCUUCACUGGGGGUGUCGGGGAAACAGGACGUUUACUUUUGAAAAAAUUAGAGUUGCUCCAGCAGCCUAUUGCCCUCGAAUACAUUAGCAUGGAAUAAUGGCAUAGGAGUGCUGGUCUUAUUCGUGGUUUCUAGGACCGCCGUAAUGAUUAAUAGGACAGUCGCGGGCAUCAGUAUUCAAUCGUCAGAAGGUGAAAUCUUGCGAUCGAUUUGAAGGAGACUAAACUACUGCCGAAACAUUUUGAAGGAUGUUUUAUUAUCAGGCAACGAAAGUUAGGGGAUCGAAGACGAUCAGAUUUACCUCGUAUCUUAACCAUAAACUAUGCCGACUAGGGAUCUUGACGGUGACUUUCGACGUUCGGCACCUUACGAGAAUCAAAGUGCUUGGGCUCAGGGGAGUAUGGUCGCCAAGGCUGAAACUUAAAGAAAAUUGACGGAGGGCACCCAGGGGGGCCUGCGGCUUAAUUUGACUCAACAGGGGAAACUCCCAGUCAGACACAACGAGGAUUGGACAGAUUCGAGAGCUCUUUCUAUUUUGUGGGUGUGGUGCAUGUGCCGUUCUUUAGUUGGUCUGGAGUGAUUGUCUGCUAAUUGCGAAACGAACGAGACCUUAAGCCUGCCUAAAUAGUCCGUAUUACCCCGCCGUAGUACGCCGACUUCUUAGAGGGACUAUCGGCUCAAGCCGAUGGAAGUUUGCAGGCAUAACAGGUCUGUGAUGCCCUUAUAUGUUUCUGGCGCGGCACGCGCGUUUACACUGACGGGGCCAGCGAGUACGUGCUUGGCCGAAAGGUCGGGUUAAUCUGCUGAACCCCGUCGUGCUGGAGAUAGAGCAUUGAAUUUAUUUGCUCUUCAACGAGGAAUCCCUAGUCAAGCGCACGUCAUUUCAGCUUGCGUUCGAUUACGUCCCUGCCCUUUGUACACACCGCCCGCGCUACUACGAUUCAUGCUCAGUGGCUUUCGGACUUUGAGUCCGGAGUGGGGGGCGCCCCCGUUCUGCGACCGGAAAGUUAUCCGACUCAGGUCAUUGGAGAGGAGUAAAAGUCGUAACAAGGUCUCCGUGGUGAACCCGGAGGGA